GGAAUAUGUGAGUUUUACCGGAGAAUUCGAUUGGUUUUUCGAGUUCGAUUAACGCAAUGUCGUUAACGAGGUUGUAAGAGUCCCAGUUCUCGUGGGUGAACCAUCUCUUGCCGUUGACUCUGAAGCCCGUGUCCAGGCGGCGGACCAUAUCGUGGGCCCCGACGACAACCUCGACGGCUCUGGCAGUGUCGACGCAAUGAGCGGCUGUGAGUAUCCAUUGGUUGUUGAGGAUCGAACCUCCGCAGAAAGCAGUGCCACCGCUCACGCUCACGAACAGACCGACUUGGUAAGGGAACUGUCCAGGCUUGGCUUCGAAUCCUCCAACGACGCGUCCCAAACCGUAGGUAGGAAUCCACUGGUGCGCUUGAAAAUUGAGAGGAAAAUCUUAGAAGCGUUACCCCUGUUUGCUCCAGCGAAGUGAAACGUAGAAACAUACCUUCCAAUAUGCGAGCUACGUUUUCAGGUACGACUCGCAUCGUGUUGAUCGUAUCCAAAUCGAUGUCGACGGCCUGGACAACAUACAGGAAAUUCAUUAAUGUCGUGAAAAUGAGUUGAUUAGAAUAUAGGAUCAUACCUGGGCCGCCACGGCCACAAAGCAAAGUGCUACGAGAACCUUCAUAUUGACACUGGUAACUGCUGAGAGUCUGAAUGGUGCGUAGGGUAUAUAUAACCAUUCCGAAGACAGACAAUUAGGCAAAAUAAUCCGUUUAAUCUCUGGCCAUCGACCAAUUAGCAAACACGGAAUUCAGCACGUUCAUAUCUGAGAAUCAAACCCAGAUAAAUGUCAUUUUGAAAUUGUCAUGUCGCUAUCUGGGUGAUAAUCCAAGAUUCAGGUAGGAUUGAGUGGCUCUAGCUACUGAGGUGAUAAUCUCAAUCAAAGACAUUUUCAAGACGUUGACAGUAACCAUAUCAGAGUAAAUGAUUUUGCUUUAAAACAGGUAAGCAUGGCACGGUAUACAUUGUUUAUCAUAUACAUACAUAACGUACAUCCAUUCUCAUUGUUAGAAGGCGUACAGGUAUACGUGUCGCAAGCUCUGCAGUCUGCGAUCUACAUCGUACAUCAUUGAUAUCAUCACUGAUUCCGACAUAAUUAUCAGUUAUAUAAAUUAUUGAUGGCAAACUGUGAUGCGCCUCGUUAAUCGAAGAAUCAAAUCAUUAUGAAUGUUAAGAUAUGUGAGUCGGACUCGACAUCUGUUGCGUAGGAUUUAGUAUCCAAUUUUUGCUCAUCGUCGCCAUCAAUUUUAUUUUCUAUUGAGUAGAAGCGCAUACCGUGGGACAAAGGCGAUUCAAUAAGAACAGGAAUUUGUAUAAAAAAGGCUCUCCAUCAGUCUCAAUAUAAUUGCCACAAUAUAUUUACAUGGGGAAAUAAUAACUGUACAAUUGAAUCGAAUACAUCGGAACUACAAACGAAUCUGUAUAUUAAUGCAACUCCCGGAGAACGAAAGAGUAAUCGUUAUCUCCUCAGAGUUUCGUUCUUUAUUAGAAUGAUAUAUUUACAUGUAUGGGGGGAAUAUGGAUUUUUCUGAUUUUUUUGUUAUGAUUGAACUUACUCUAAAACCGACGAAAAAUUUUUUGUGAAGUUAUUCGUAUUUUUUCAUUUACUCGAUAAAAAUUGUAUAUUUGUCUUUUG